rfam:Nematostella vectensis strain CH2 x CH6 NEMVEscaffold_82_Cont11064, whole genome shotgun sequence.
UAAGCGUUCUAUCUCCUUAAACAUUCAUCGUCUUGUACACGAUGGUUGUUUAAGGAGCUGAAACGCUA